AGCAAGUAGUUGUGUGAUAAUGUGGUAAUUGAAGAGCUGGGCUGUGCUUUUAAAAAUAAUGUACUCCAACUGAAUUACCUUUCUAAUCUGCUUCACCAGGUGGCUGAAAAGAUCUUAGUGGUUGGGGAUGCUGAGGAAGGAGUGAGGAGGUGGGAUCAGUAGAGCUCUUCAUCCCACAGGUCUGGUUCAACCUGAGUGAGUUACUUGGAUUGGAAACUCGGGCACCGAUGUGCUAUUCCCAGUUACAUGCAUUUGGCUUCACCUCUUGGUUUUUCUUUUCCUGAUUUACAGGAGCAUUCAGUGAGCAGGAUGAGGAAGCUAAAGCAUUUCCACAGAAGAUCAGAAGAACAGUUGAACAGAAGCAUCACACUUGCACAUCACUCAGAAACACAAGACAUGCUGUGGUUCAACAGUGACCUGCUAAAUUGAAAGCUGCAUGGCCCUUCGUUUGAGCUGACCCUCUGUACCCAUGUGGAAGUCAGUAAAAGGGAGGACAGUCCCUGAAGUGACCUUCACGAUGUCAAGUGGAGUCCAUAAUAUGGCAUAAUCCCUUUCAGAAACUGAUCAAGAUGUGUCAUAAAACUGGAUUUUCAUGUGUUUCCCUGCUGAGAAAUGACAUUUGCAAAAUAAAGUAUUUGGAAAAGAAGGAUACAGACACGCCUGGAAGAGACUACCCCAUGAGCAUGCCAGGCCCACAGCAUCAAACUGAGGAGCAACAGAAAUCCAAGAAAUGAGUUCUCUAACAAAAAUCUUCGUUCUGUACUUGACAAAUUGCAGCUACAUUGCCAACAGGUUUGAUUCUGAAAAUCAGCAAAGUAGCAGCUCUUGGUCAGGACCAAAAGGGUGGCUUGUAGAUUUCCAGAACGUUACUACAUGUUUUAGAUUAUGUUAUGUUAUUUUAGAUUAUGUUAUGUUAUCUUUUAGAAUGUUAUGAAGGUCUUUAUAUGUUCCAUGGUGAAUCUAAUAUUCCCUCUCAGCUUCUCCUACUUGCAAAAUACACUCCAAUAGCUGAAA